GUCUCUACUAAAAUUACAAAAAUUAGUCAGGCAUGCUGCUGGGCACCUGUAAUCCCAGCUACUAGGGAGGCUGAGGCAGGAGAAUCGCUUCAACCCGGGAGAAAGAGGUUGUAGUGAGCCGAGAUUGCACCACCGCACUCCAGCCUGGGCGACAGAGCGAGACUCUGUCUCUAAAUAAAUAAAUAAAUAAAUAGUCAUCCACCCCGUGUAAUUUUUUGUUUUAGCUCUGGGGUAAAAUCCACCCCUGGGCUGUGGAAGCAUCCAGUCACUUCUCAGACUGGGACGGUGUCUCUGGGGAAGACAAAGGUGGGUUCAGAAGAAGAUGAGAUUGCUGGGCCUUCUCCUGUGCCUGCUGACACCUCCCGAAGCUGUCCUGUCCCAGGUGCAGCAGCAGGAGUGAGGCUCAAGACUGGAGAAGCCGUGGCUGCCCCCUUCCUCACCUGGCACGACUCCGGAUUCUCCAUCACAGCCAGUGGUUACUGCGGAGGCCCGGUCCACCGGCCCCUAGACAAGGGGUUGCACUGGCUGAGGAGCAUCGAUUAUAAGAGAAACACGAACAACCGCCGCCUCUCAAGAGCCUCAUCUCCAUCCAGAGACUCAUCCAACAAGCAGCGCUCCCUGCGGCGGAGCUCCAGGAACCCACAGGACAGCCAGGGAAAUGAAGCACCAUUUAUUGGGACGUGUCCUCCAUUUCUGAUGGGCUCCCCGUGGUCUCCACCUCAGAUGGUUUUGCCACCAUCUUUAAUCCGUUAAUGCCUUCAAUCGCCCUCACCAUCCAUGUAAUGAAGCAAUGAAUGCCUUUACUUCAUCUACUUGUGUCUCCAUCAGUCAGUUCACUUCUCUCCAUUCUCACAAAGGACAGCCACCCACUACUUCAGAGCCUCCUGCAGCCUUGGGUGGUAAACCUAUUAAAAAGCCCCUGCUGUUUAGAAAGGGUGUGUAUUGGAAACUUAAUCCCAAAUUCCAUAGUGUCCAGAGGUGAGAAUGUUAAGAAAUGAUUAGGCCGAGAGGGCUCUGCCCUCAUGAAGCAAUUAAUGCCAUUAUCAUCAGAGUAGGUUACUUAUUGUGGUAGCAGAUUAGUUACUACAGGCCUGGGUUCCUCAUUAAAAAAUGAGUUUAGCCCCCUUUCCAUCCUUUGCACAUGCUCUCCUGCCUUCCACAUGGGCAUCACAGCAAGAAGGCUCUUGCCAGAUGCUAGCACCUUGACAUUGACUUCCCAGCCUCUAGAGCUGGGAGAAAAUAAAUUUCUUUUCCUUACACAUUAGCCAGUGUGUGGUAUUCACUCAUUGCACCACAAAGUGGACUAAGACAAAAAAUCAGUAUCAAGAGGUGGGGCUGUUGUGAUAACAAAUAUCCCAAAAUGUAGAAGUGGAAGUAGUAAUGCACAGAGACUGGAAUAAUUUGGAGGAUCAGGUUAUAAAAAGUCUAGAUUGCCAUGACUAGAACACUAGGGGUAUUCUUUUGAGGACUCAGAAGAAGACAGCUGUGAGGAAAUUCUGAAACUUCUUAGAGAUUAUUUAGGUGAUGAUCAUUAGAAUGUUGGUAGAACCGUGGACAAUAAAGGCCGUUCUGAUGAGGUCUCAGGAGAAAAAGAAGAAUAGCUCAUCGGAAAAUGGAGCAAAGGCCAUCCUUCCCUUAAAGUGGCAAGGAAUGUGGCUGAAUUGUGCUCAUCCCUAGGUCUUUCUGUAAAGUGGAAGUUCAGAGCCAUGAGUGAGGAUAUAUGGUGGGAGAAAUUUGAAGCAAAUCUAUGGCCUCACUUCUAGCAGGCACUUUAGGACUCUGUU
rnacentral:lncRNA from 1 species